GAUGAACGCUGGCGGCGUGCCUAAUACAUGCAGGUCGAGCGAACAGACGAGGAGCUUGCUCCUUCGACGUUAGCGGCGGACGGGUGAGUAACACGUAGGUAACCUACCUAUAAGACUGGGAUAACUUCGGGAAACCGGAGCUGAUACCGGAUAAUAUUUCGAACCGCAUGGUUCGAUAGUGAAAGAUGGCUUUGCUAUCACUUAUAGAUGGACCUGCGCCGUAUUAGCUAGUUGGUAAGGUAACGGCUUACCAAGGCAACGAUACGUAGCCGACCUGAGAGGGUGAUCGGCCACACUGGAACUGAGACACGGUCCAGACUCCUACGGGAGGCAGCAGUAGGGAAUCUUCCGCAAUGGGCGAAAGCCUGACGGAGCAACGCCGCGUGAGUGAUGAAGGUCUUCGGAUCGUAAAACUCUGUUAUUAGGGAAGAACAAACGUGUAAGUAACUGUGCACGUCUUGACGGUACCUAAUCAGAAAGCCACGGCUAACUACGUG
rnacentral:rRNA from 1 species